UGUAGCUCAGCAGUACAGCACAUGUUUAACAUGCAUGAGGCCCUGGGUUUGAUCCCCAGCA
rnacentral:tRNA from 1 species